UACGGAGGGUGCAAGCGUUAUCCGGAUUCACUGGGUUUAAAGGGUGCGUAGGCGGGCAGGUAAGUCAGUGGUGAAAUCCUAGAGCUUAACUCUAGAACUGCCAUUGAUACUAUCUGUCUUGAAUAUUUGUGGAGGUAAGCGGAAUAUGUCAUGUAGCGGUGAAAAUGCUUAGAUAUGACAUAGAACACCUAUUGCGAAGGCAGCUUACUACGCAUAUAUUUGACGCUGAGGCACGAAAAGCGUGGGGGAUCAAAACAGG
rnacentral:rRNA from 1 species